AGUGAACGCUGGCGGUAGGCCUAACACAUGCAAGUCGAACGGCAGCACAGUAAGAGCUUGCUCUUACGGGUGGCGAGUGGCGGACGGGUGAGGAAUACAUCGGAAUCUACUUUUUCGUGGGGGAUAACGUAGGGAAACUUACGCUAAUACCGCAUACGACCUACGGGUGAAAGCAGGGGAUCUUCGGACCUUGCGCGAUUGAAUGAGCCGAUGUCGGAUCAGCUAGUUGGCGGGGUAAAGGCCCACCAAGGCGACGAUCCGUAGCUGGUCUGAGAGGAUGAUCAGCAACACUGGAACUGAGACACGGUCCAGACUCCUACGGGAGGCAGCAGUGGGGAAUAUUGGACAAUGGGCGCAAGCCUGAUCCAGCCAUACCGCGUGGGUGAAGAAGGCCUUCGGGUUGUAAAGCCCUUUUGUUGGGAAAGAAAAGCAGCAGGUUAAUACCCCGCUGUUCUGACGGUACCCAAAGAAUAAGCACCGGCUAACUUCGUG
rnacentral:rRNA from 1 species